rnacentral:rRNA from 1 species
GACGAACGCUGGCGCCUUGCGUAACACAUGCAAGUCGAACGGAAAGGCCCUGCUUUUGUGGGGUGCUCGAGUGGCGAACGGGUGAGUAACACGUGAGUAACCUGCCCUUGACUUUGGGAUAACUUCAGGAAACUGGGGCUAAUACCGGAUAGGAGCUCCUGCUGCAUGGUGGGGGUUGGAAAGUUUCGGCGGUUGGGGAUGGACUCGCGGCUUAUCAGCUUGUUGGUGGGGUAGUGGCUUACCAAGGCUUUGACGGGUAGCCGGCCUGAGAGGGUGACCGGCCACAUUGGGACUGAGAUACGGCCCAGACUCCUACGGGAGGCAGCAGUGGGGAAUAUUGCACAAUGGGCGGAAGCCUGAUGCAGCAACGCCGCGUGCGGGAUGACGGCCUUCGGGUUGUAAACCGCUUUCGCCUGUGACGAAGCGUGAGUGACGGUAAUGGGUAAAGAAGCACCGGCUAACUACGUGCCAGCAGCCGCGGUGAUACGUAGGGUGCGAGCGUUGUCCGGAUUUAUUGGGCGUAAAGGGCUCGUAGGUGGUUGAUCGCGUCGGAAGUGUAAUCUUGGGGCUUAACCCUGAGCGUGCUUUCGAUACGGGUUGACUUGAGGAAGGUAGGGGAGAAUGGAAUUCCUGGUGGAGCGGUGGAAUGCGCAGAUAUCAGGAGGAACACCAGUGGCGAAGGCGGUUCUCUGGGCCUUUCCUGACGCUGAGGAGCGAAAGCGUGGGGAGCGAACAGGCUUAGAUACCCUGGUAGUCCACGCUGUAAACGGUGGGUACUAGGUGUGGGGUCCAUUCCACGGGUUCCGUGCCGUAGCUAACGCUUUAAGUACCCCGCCUGGGGAGUACGGCCGCAAGGCUAAAACUCAAAGGAAUUGACGGGGCCCCGCACAAGCGGCGGAGCAUGCGGAUUAAUUCGAUGCAACGCGUAGAACCUUACCUGGGUUUGACAUGGAUCGGGAGUGCUCAGAGAUGGGUGUGCCUCUUUUGGGGUCGGUUCACAGGUGGUGCAUGGCUGUCGUCAGCUCGUGUCGUGAGAUGUUGGGUUAAGUCCCGCAACGAGCGCAACCCUUGUUCACUGUUGCCAGCACGUUAUGGUGGGGACUCAGUGGAGACCGCCGGGGUCAACUCGGAGGAAGGUGGGGAUGACGUCAAGUCAUCAUGCCCCUUAUGUCCAGGGCUUCACGCAUGCUACAAUGGCUGGUACAGAGAGUGGCGAGCCUGUGAGGGUGAGCGAAUCUCGGAAAGCCGGUCUCAGUUCGGAUUGGGGUCUGCAACUCGACCUCAUGAAGUCGGAGUCGCUAGUAAUCGCAGAUCAGCAACGCUGCGGUGAAUACGUUCCCGGG